UAGAUCAUCACAGAAUGCGGUGUUCACUAGUACUUGAUGCUGCCAAGGUAAAUUAUCGAUAAAAAUAAUUAGGUAAAUCUAAGUCAAUCGGAUACUGAUUUUUUUGGUGGGUCGUGAUGGAAUUAUUAACGAUGAUGGUAUUUUAGAAAAAUUUAAAAAGGUGAUUGUAUUUUAUGAAACCUACUGAGAUGUGAUGGUAAUUUGGAAUAAUUUUCCUUUUGGGAUCGAGUUGUCAGUUCCUUCUUCCUUAGAAUCAACUUGAUGAAUAAUUAGGUGUUCGAGAUAUACUUGAGGAUAACUGCGUUCGAUACUCCACUCGGAGAACUGGUGUCGUUUUGGAUUACUGGUGUUUGUGCUAUGUUAUUUGCCUCAUUCUCUAUUUUGCUAGAUAUUGGUGCUUCACAGAGUGAGUUAUCACUUACCAAGCUCAGUGGUCUUUGCUGUAUUCUCAAUGGAAGGUUUCCAUUUCUCGUCGUAUUUUCAACUUGGACUGCACAAUCUUUGAUCGGUGUCACCUAGGAAAAGUCUCGUUCAUAUUGGGCUACUUUCUCUACUAUAUUGCGUACGAAGAAUAUGCAGAUGUUUCAAGCCGGGUUUAUCUACAGAAUAGGACAAUAAUGACAGUGGUUUCCUACAUUACAUGAAUAUGGUGGCAGUGCACUCCCACUCUACAGCAAGUGGCAGCUUUAUUCAAGGUCUACAACAAGUUACAGGGCAAAUUGAUGCACUGUACCAGUGCUCAGUUUGAGUGAAGGUGUUAAAACGCAUAGUCAGCGUUGUUCUGACAUUUUUGUAUAGUAUUCCCUCACAAGCACACCUUAGUUUCGCUGCAAGAAUUAGGGGAAGAAGAUGCAAAGAUUACGGAGUCGGAGACAGAAAGGCAUGAUCAUCCUUUCAACAAGCUGUAGGAGGAUGAGACCCUGGAUACCUACUUAUGAAAUGGGUAAAGGGGAUGACACCGCAAUGGAUGUGAACUUUUCUGGGAAUUUGUCAUUCGAUAAAGUUAUGCAUCGAUAUCUACCAGGUGAAAUUCAGCUGAUACCUCUCAAGAUACCGGAACUAAAAGGAGAUACCAAACUUUCUGGGGCGCUUUUGAGACAGAGAUUUGAUAUCAAGUGGGCUGCCCCAAAAGCAGAAGGAUCCUUCACUGAUGCGUGGGGAUAUUAUUAUUUCCUGGACAUAUUACUGUCAAUUCGUUAUCAGUUGCUUUCGACUUAUAUACGAAAGUUCAAACAUCUUACCCUGAAGAAAACCGGUUAGACAGAAAACCUAAUGAUUUUAAGAGUGUGUACCCUUGACUAUUGAGGGAAUCGAACUGGACUGCCGUAUCCGUGGCUUUGAGUUCUGCAGCUUGACGUCCUCUUAUAAUUUUGAUUCUCCAAGGCCUAUGAAUUUGAAAGCUACUGGAGGAUCAAAUUUUAAGGAAAGGUUGUCCCGCAGCAAGUGACGAGAAUACAAGCACCCAAAUGAUGGACGAUGCAGAGGAAACUGGUCUUGUUGGGGAGGUAUCAAGCUAAAUAAGCUGAUGAUAGCACCUCAAUUGGUUGGAUACUUGAGCAUAUCACAUGAAAAGAUUAAGGUGAAACAUUUACCGCUUGAUGAGCUGGAGCUGGCUUCACUAAGAGGAACAAUACAAAGGCUUAAUUUUCAGAAAGGAGGGUCAUGGAAUGUUAUCUGUACUUCACCCAAGGUUUAGUGGUUUGCUUGGUGAAGCCCUUGAUGUGGCUGCUCGGUGGAGUGGAGAUGUUGUGAGUAGCUUUAUUCUAACUAAAACUGUUCUAAGUCUCUUUUGCUGUUAGCAGUUCCAAUAAUUCAGAUAAAAAGACCGAGCAUCACCUUAGUUUUUAGUUUUUUACUGUUUUUCUUGCAAGGUUGGACUGUUGAAAUUUAUAGACUUGUGUUUGAAAGAAUUACCAUCUUCAAUGUUCAGCGGGUGAUAGGAACACAUUUUCAACUUCAAAUUGAAAUAUUUUUGUUUGAAAGAAUUACCAUCUCAAAUCUUUAGACUACUACUUUUUGUGGAUGAAAGGAAGUUUUAUAAAUUAGAAAAAGAUGAACAAAGUUGUCUAUCGCCAUACAUACUUGGGCUAGUGUCAUUUUGUAAACAGCUGAGAACUCCACUUUUGAUUCCAAUUUUGAAAUGUAUAUUGAAUAGUUGAAUUAUUUCUUAUUGAGAACGCAGUCCACUGCAUGUUUUGUUUUCACUUGUAUGCGGUCAAAAAGAAAAGCUUACUACUAUUAGACUACUACAAUUUUUAACAUGUACAGUAGCUUUUAAGAAAAAUGUCUGCUGCUCAGAUUACCAUUGAAAACACUGUUCUGGAACAAGCCAAUAGUCCAUAUGAGCUCCAAGGAGAAUAUGUAUUGCCCGGACCGGGUCGUCACCCUACUGGAAAGGAGAGAAGUGGCCUGUGGGAAAGGGCUAUGGCAGGGCAUCUGGUUAGUAUAAUAUCUUCAAUGGGGAGGUGGCGGAUGAGACUAGAAGUUCCUGGAGCUGAAGCGUCUGAUAUGCUUCCACUUGCACGACUUCUUUCUCGGCGUACAGACCCUGCUGUUCUCUCUAGAUCAAAGGUAGUAAUCGUCUUACUUGUGAAUGUGCAGACAUUAUCUUGUCAAGUAAUUGUAGUUUUCCUACUUGUGCAUUGUGCUAUAUACACAAAUUGGACAUAGAGAUUUGAGAACUCAAUUUCCU